GACGAACGCUGGCGGCGUGCUUAACACAUGCAAGUUGAACGGAGUAUGUUGGAAGGGUAACCGGAAGACAUAUUUAGUGGCGAACGGGUGAGUAAUGCAUGAGAACGUAUCCUCAAGAGGGGGACAACAUUGGGAAACCGAUGCUAAUACCCCAUAAGCCGGGAGGUAAAAGGAGCAAUCCGCUUGAGGAGCGGUUCAUGUCCUAUCAGCUAGUUGGUGAGGUAACGGCUCACCAAGGCGAAGACGGGUAGCCGGCCUGAGAGGGUGAACGGCCACACUGGAACUGAGAGACGGUCCAGACUCCUACGGGAGGCAGCAGUGGGGAAUAUUGGGCAAUGGGGGAAACCCUGACCCAGCGACGCCGCGUGAGGGAAGAAGGCCUUAGGGUCGUAAACCUCUGUUGUGUGGGAAGAAGAGCGUGACGGUACCACGCGAGGAAGUCCCGGCUAACUACGUG
rnacentral:rRNA from 1 species